rnacentral:rRNA from 1 species
UACGUAGGGUGCGAGCGUUGUCCGGAAUUACUGGGCGUAAAGAGCUUGUAGGUGGUUUGUCGCGUUGUUCGUGAAAACUCACAGCUCAACUGUGGGCGUGCGGGCGAUACGGGCAGACUAGAGUACUGCAGGGGAGACUGGAAUUCCUGGUGUAGCGGUGGAAUGCGCAGAUAUCAGGAGGAACACCGGUGGCGAAGGCGGAUCUCUGGGCCAUUACUGACGCUGAGGAGCGAAAGCGUGGGGAGCGAACAGG